rnacentral:rRNA from 1 species
GCCCAAUGACAUAGUUAAAUGGCCGCGGUACCCUGACCGUGCUAAGGUAGCAUAAUCAUUUGCCUCUUAAUUGGUGGCUAGUAUGAAUGGACACACGCAAGCAUCGCUGUCUCAUUAGUAUAAAUAAAAACUAACCUUUAGGUGAAGAGACCUAAAUAAUAUAAAAAGACAAAAAGACCCUAUGGAGCUUUAUUUUUACUCCUCUGCAGCACAAUAUAUUAAAAUUCCUCACAGGACUAACAAAUUUAGUUGGGGCGACUCAGGAAAACAAUAAAUCUUCCUUGCACAAUAAGAAAAUAAAUCAUCCAAUGAUCCGCUAUGCGAAUACAGAUCCAGCUACCCUAGGGAUAACAGGCUAAUUCUUCUCGAGAGCCCGAAUUGACAGAAGAGAUUGGCACCUCGAUGUUGGCUUAGGGUCCCUACAAGAUGCAGCAGUCUUGAAAGUAGGUUUGUU